UACUAUAAGUUCCCUCAAGGAGAGGCAAAUCGACAUUUACGUCGACUGUGGGAGGCCAGCGUAAGGCGAGUGGACUGGGUCCCUAGCAACUACGACAGGAUCUGCUCAGAUCAUUUUGUAGGAGGGAAACGCACCCAUACGAAAGGGUCUGCGGGUUACAUACCAAGUGUCUUCCCUUGGCAAAAAGUUUGUCAAUCCAGAACUUCGAAAACAGCAAUACAGGCUGGGACUGUGACACCAGUACCAUGGCGCCGUCACGACACAUGGUCCCCUAGCCCUGAACAUGAUCAAGAGACCCCAGGACCAAGCAAUCGCCAAAUUGCCUUCGCACAGCAGCGGGAAAGGAAGAAGCAAGAGGAAGCAAGAGAAAACUCUAGACACGUAUGGAAGGUAACAUGGACAUGACUAUGUAGAAACAAGUAAAGAGAAGCCUUCCAUAUAUGAUGAAGAAUUGCCAAGACUGUACAAGAAAAUCCAGGAGUUGGAAAAGGAAAAUUCACAGCUGAAGCAGAGAGUAUUUAGUUUGGACACUGUAAAAGAGUGUGAUAAAGAUUUCCAGAGGUACACAAACUUACCAAACUUUGCAGUAUUUUCUGCAGUCAGUGACUAUUUGAAGAAAAUAUGUAAAGGUCACCUAAAGUACUGGCGAGGUCAGGAGACUGACUGCACACCUACCAAGAGGAGUGGAAGAGAAAGAUCAUUAUCUUUUGAAGAGGAGUUCUUCUUAGUACUUGUGAAAUUAAAAUCAGGGGAUUUCAACCAACAAAUCGCGGGCCGAUUCGGCAUAAGUACCAGUCAAGUUUCCAAGAUAUUCACGACAUGGUUGAACUUUCUCCACAGAGAGCUUCGGUUGCUGUUCGAGAUGAAAACCAGUUGGGAUAAACCAGAAACAAUCCCUGAGUGCUUCAGACGGUAUGAUCGACUUGUGUCAGUCAUCGAUUGUACAGAACUGCAGGUGGAAAUGGCAGGAACGCUGCAAGCGAGAAAGGAGACUUACUCUAAACUAUAAGAA